UACGAACCGUACAAACGUUAUUCGGAAUCACUGGGCUUAAAGGGUGCGUAGGCGGCCAUGUAAGUGAGGUGUGAAAUCCUGCGGCUCAACCGCAGGCGGUCGCAGGAAACUGCCUCGCUAGAGUCCGGAAGAGGAGAGCGGAAUUCCUGGUGUAGCGGUGGAAUGCGCAGAUAUCAGGAGGAACACCGGUGGCGAAGGCGGGUCUCUGGACAGUGACUGACGCUGGAGAACGCGAAAGCGUUGGGGAGCAAACAGG
rnacentral:rRNA from 1 species